GUGUUUCUCACACAUUCUCAUGUGGUACCUGUCAUGUGGUGGUUCUCAUGUGGUACUUCUCAUGUGGUGGUUCUCAUGUGGUACCUGUCAUGUGGUGGUUCUCAUGUGGUACCUGUCAUGUGGUGGUUCUCAUGUGGUUCUCAUGUGGUUCUUAUUUGGUUCUCACGUGGUUCCCAUGUGGUUCUCAUGUGGUACUUAUCAUGUGGUUCUCAUGUGGUACUUCUCAUGUGCUGGUUCUCAUGUGGUUCUUAUUUGGUUCUCAUGUGGUUCUCAUGUGGUACUUCUCAUGUGGUUCCCAUGUGGUGGUUCUCAUGUGGUUCUUAUUUGGUUCUCAUGUGGUUCCCAUGUGGUUCUCAUGUGGUUCUCAUGUGGUACUUCUCAUGUGGUUCUUCUCAUGUGGUUCUCAUGUGGUGCAUAUCAUGUGGUUCUCAUGUGCUUCUCAUGUGGAACUCAUGUGGUACUUCUCAUGUGGUGUUUAUCAUGUGGUUCUCAUGUGGUUCUCAUGUGGUACUCAUGUGGUACUUCUCAUGUGGUGUUUAUCAUGUGGUUCUAAUGUGGUACUCAUGUGGUUCUCAUGUGGUACUUCUCAUGUGGUGGUUCUCAUGUGGUGGUUCUCAUGUGGUUCUCAUUUGGUUCUCAUGUGGUACUUCUCAUGUGGUUCCCAUGUGGUGGUUCUCAUGUGGUACUCUUGUGGUUCUCAUGUGGUUCUCAUGUGGUACUUCUCAUGUGGUGGUUCUCAUGUGGUGGUUCUUAUUUGGUUCUCAUGUGGUUCUCAUGUGGUACUUCUCAUGUGGUUCCCAUGUGGUGGUUCUCAUGUGGUACUCUUGUGGUUCUCAUGUGGUUCUCAUGUGGUACUUCUCAUGUGGUGGUUCUCAUGUGGUGGUUCUUAUUUGGUUCUCAUGUGGUUCUCAUGUGGUACUUCUCAUGUGGUUCCCAUGUGGUGGUUCUCAUGUGGUUCUCAUGUGGUACUUCUCAUGUGGUUCUCAUGUGGUGUUUCUCAUGUGGUUCUCAUGUGGUGCUUCUCAUGUGGUUCUCAUGCGGUGCUUCUCAUGUGGUGUUUCUCAUGUGGUACUUCUCAUGUGGUUCUCAUGUGGUACUUCUCAUGUGGUGUUUAUCAUGUGGUUCUCAUGUGGUUAUCAUGUGUUACUUCUCAAGUGGGUCUCAUGUGGUUCUUAUUUGGUUCUCAUGUGGUUCUCAUGUGGUACUUCUGAUGUGGUUCUUCUCAUUUGGUUCUCAUGUGGUUCUCAUGUGGUACUUGUCAUGUGGUACUUCUCAUGUUGUUCUCAUGUGGUACUUCUCAUGUGGUUCUCAUGUGGUACUUCUCAUGUGGUUCUCAUGUGGUACUUCUCAUGUUGUUCUCAUGUGGUACUUCUCAUGUGGUGCGUAUCAUGUGGAACUCAUGUGGUACUUCUCAUGUGGUGCUUAUUAUGUGGUUCUCAUGUGGUGUUUCUCAUGUGGUUCUCAUGUGGUGUUUCUCAUGUGGUUCUCAUGUGGUAUUUCUCAUGUGGUUCUCAUGUGGUGCGUAUCAUGUGGUUCUUAUGUGGAACUCAUGUGCUGCAGUUCACGCUAGGAGAGAGUUGACACUGGUAGUGGAGGGGUCAUCACCUCUUAAUCAGGGAACAUGAGGGGCCUUAGCUGGAAACACAAAUGUUAGAUUUGGGCUCCAAGUUUCUCCAUGAAGUUGUACUCAGACAUCUCAGAAUUGACCAAGUCAAAGACAGACUGCAACAUCUUUCCCACUUGACACAUCAAAGUAGCCCGAGAAACGUUCCUGAAUAAUAAAUCCCUGAUCAUACACACGCCUGACGAUAACUGUGUUUCUGUUCAUAUCUUAUUUCUUAUCGUUGUUUGAUUGUGGAGAAGGAACCUGCAGGAAUCAUUUUGUUGGACAGUUUAUACCAUGUGUAUCCUGUACAUACGACUAAUAAACCUUAAAACAACCAACUUCGAUUUUUUUGAGUUUCUUCUAAUCUGGUCACCUAACCAGAUAAAACUCUGGGCCCUAAAACUCUGGACCCUAUAGGGUAUGACAGCAUUAAUCAGUUGUAAAAGUGUUUUAUGUGGGCUGUGAUGGGACAGAGUGGCGCAGCUGUCUAAGGCGCUGCGUCUCAGUGCUAGAGGCGUCACGACAUACACCCUGAUUCGAUUCCAGGCUGUGUCACAACCGGCCGUGAUUGGGCGGCACACAAUUGGCCCAGUGUCGUCCGGGUUUGGCCGGUCAUUGUAAAUUGACUUGCCUAGUUAAAUAAAGGUUUAUAAAAAAAACGUAUUUAAAAACUCCUGGCCUUGGUGAGGCUGAAAACCCUGUCAAACUGCAACAACCUUCUACUUGUUCAUGUGAAUUAUAUUUACACUAGACUAACGGGGAUUUCCUCUACCCAGACACAGAGACAAUAACUGAUAGACAGUAGAACUCACAGGGCGGUGCUUGAUGUAGGCCUGAUUAAACACUAACUUACAGGAGCUUGAUUUAUGCUUGUUCGUGUAGGCCUGAUUAAACACUAAUUUACAGGAGCUUGAUUUAUGCUUGUUCGUGUAGGCCUGAUUAAACACUAACUUACAGUCUAUGACAUCACUAUUGUGUUAAUUGAUUCAUUACAGGUAAUCAUGUGUUGAAAAGGUCUAGGCCUAGCCAGCCAAGUUGGAAUACAACAAAUUGACUAAAUAAAUGGACUAUAAAUGGAGAAAUUGAUUACAAAAUACUGAUUAAUUUAAAGAUGUGCCCCCGAAUCGCCCCCUUCCCCUAAAACAC
rnacentral:lncRNA from 1 species